rnacentral:snoRNA from 1 species
CUACAGCCAAUUAGGCUAACCACGCUCUUUUCCCAGAUGUGUAAUGACUGCAAACAGCAGCUUCCUCAGUAGUAUACAUAGUCUGUUGCGCAUAUAGGUUGCCCUAAGAACGAGGAGAUAAAC